rnacentral:rRNA from 1 species
UACGUAGGGUCCGAGCGUUGUCCGGAAUUACUGGGCGUAAAGAGCUCGUAGGUGGUUUGUCGCGUUGUUCGUGAAAACUCACAGCUUAACUGUGGGCGUGCGGGCGAUACGGGCAGACUUGAGUACUGCAGGGGAGACUGGAAUUCCUGGUGUAGCGGUGAAAUGACGCAGAUAUCAGGAGGAACACCGGUGGCGAAGGCGGCCAUCUGGACGACCACUGACGCUGGAGAACGCGAAAGCGUGGGGAGCAAACAGG